GCGCUCACUUGGGCAGCACAUGUGCUAAAAUUGGAACAAUACAGAGAUUAGCAAGGCCCCUGCACAAGGAUGACACGCAAAUUUGUGAAGUGUUCCAUGUUUUU